AGAGUUUGAUCCUGGCUCAGAACGAACGCUGGCGGCAGGCUUAACACAUGCAAGUCGAACGCGUGUAGCAAUACACGAGUGGCGCACGGGUGAGUAACGCGUGGAUAUCUGCCUUUUGGUUCGGAAUAACCCCGGGAAACUGGGGCUAAUACCGGAUGGUUCCUACGGGAUAAAGAUUUAUCGCCAAAAGAUGAGUCCGCGUCCGAUUAGCUAGUUGGUGGGGUAAUGGCCCACCAAGGCAACGAUCGGUAGCUGGUCUGAGAGGACGAUCAGCCACACUGGGACUGAGACACGGCCCAGACUCCUACGGGAGGCAGCAGUGGGGAAUAUUGGACAAUGGGGGCAACCCUGAUCCAGCCAUGCCGCGUGAGUGAUGAAGGCCUUCGGGUUGUAAAGCUCUUUUGGCGGGGACGAUGAUGACGUACCCGCAGAAUAAGCCCC
rnacentral:rRNA from 1 species